GUUACACUACUGUACAUGUGUCCUGGAUACUGUAUAGUACAUGUUACAAAUUGACAGCUUCACUUACAGCACUGUUGUUUUUUCUCACAGUACCACCACCACCACCACCACCACCAACACCGUCUGACCAGCAGAGCUCUGGAAGUGACCGCCUCGUUAUUGAUACCGAGGAGGAGGAAAUGGGGGAGCCUUCAGGCCAGCCUGAUGUCACUUACGUGGACUCUGAGUCGUCGGAGGAGCCGCCACAGUAUAGUAAGUACAGUAGGAUUUUCUCAAGCCCAUUCUUAAAAGUAUUGACCAAGUCCACUUUU